UACGUAGGGUGCGAGCGUUUGUCCGGAAUUACUGGGCGUAAAGAGCUCGUAGGUGGUUUGUCGCGUUGUUCGUGAAAACUCACAGCUUAACUGUGGGCGUGCGGGCGAUACGGGCAGACUGGAGUACUGCAGGGGAGACUGGAAUUCCUGGUGUAGCGGUGGAAUGCGCAGAUAUCAGGAGGAACACCGGUGGCGAAGGCGGGUCUCUGGGCAGUAACUGACGCUGGAGGAGCGAAAGCCGUGGGGAGCGAACAGG
rnacentral:rRNA from 1 species